UAAUUGAUUAUUUUACAUUACAAUAAAAAGAGAUCCAUAUAUAUCUAUUAUCUAUGAAAAAUUUGGAAAAGGUUUAGAAUAUUCAAUGUUUUUACUUUACCUUUGGAUCGAAAAAAAAAGAAAGAGUUGAUUCAGAUAGAUAAGACAUACGGAAUAAUUCGUUUUCAUUUACAGAACAAAUGUCUUUCACAUCAAACUAUAGCAACGAAAAAACUAUACUAAUUGUAUGCCAGUUCCAAAAAAACGCACUUCUAUAUAAAAAAAAAAAAUUCGUAAGAAUUUUUGGAAAAAAAAAGGAUAUACGGCAGGAUUGAAAGCCUUUUCAUUAGCUGAAUCCAUUUUCACAGGUAACUCAAAAGGUUUUAACUCAAAAGGUUUUGGUUCAAUAUUCUUAAUUGUUCUGAAUCUUUGCACAAUGGUCCCAAUAUUGGAAAGUACAAAGUGAAAACCGGCCAAUAAGAAAAUUCCUAGUGAAACAAAAUAUUAUUAAAAGUAAUAUAUUCAUUAACUAAAAACAUUUGUUUAUUUUGAUAGAAAUUAUAAAAAUAAUAUAAAAUAAUAUUUUUUUUAUUCAGAAACAUUAGUUCCUUUUUGAACUAAUUGAUUAUUUUACAUUACAAUAAAAAGAGAUCCAUAUAUAUCCAUUAUCUAUGAAAAAUUUGGAAAAGGUUUAGAAUAUUCAAUGUUUUUACUUUACCUUUGGAUCGAAAAAAAAAGAAAGAGUUAAUUCAGAUAGAUAAGACAUACGGAAUAAUUCGUUUUCAUUUACAGAUCAAAUGUCUUUCACAUCAAACUAUAGCAACGAAAAAACUAUACUAAUUGUAUGCCAGUUCCAAAAAAACGCACUUCUAUAUCAAAAAAAAAAAUUCGUAAGAAUUUUUGGAAAAAAAAAGGAUAUACGGUAGGAUUGAAAGCCUUUUCAUUAGCUGAAUCCAUUUUCACAGGUAACUCAAAAGGUUUUAACUCAAA
rnacentral:lncRNA from 1 species